rnacentral:tRNA from 1 species
GGGGGUGUAGUUUAACUUGGCUAGAGCAGUCGGCUCCAAACCGACAAAUCCAGGUUCAAAUCCUGGCAUCCCCA